CCUACGGGUGGCAGCAGUGAGGAAUAUUGGUCAAUGGCCGGGAGGCUGAACCAGCCAAGUCGCGUGAGGGAAGAGGGCCCUACGGGUUGUAAACCUCUUUUGUCAGGGAGCAAGGUGCAGGUGGGGACCUGGUGGGAGAGUACCUGAAGAAAAAGAAUCGGACAACUCCGGGCCAGCAGCCGCGGUAAUACGGAGGAUGCGAGCGCUAACCGGAUUUAUUGGGUUUAAAGGGUGCGCAGGCGGAGGCACAAGUCAGCGGUAAAAUGGCGGGGCUCAACCCCGAUACGCCGUUGAAACUGUGUCCCUUGAGUGCGCGAAGGGUAGGCGGAAUGCGUGGUGUAGCGGUGAAAUGCAUAGAUAUCACGCAGAACUUCGAUCGCGAAGGCAGCCUACCGGCGCGCAACUGACGCUCAUGCACGAAAGCGUGGGUAUCGAACAGGAUUAGAUACCCCUGUAGUC
rnacentral:rRNA from 1 species